UACGGAGGAUGCAAGCGUUAUCCGGAAUGAUUGGGCGUAAAGCGUCCGCAGGUGGCAAUGUAAGUCUGCUGUCAAAGCGUCUGGCUCAACCAGAUAAAGGCAGUGGAAACUACAUAGCUAGAGUAAGGUAGGGGUAGAGGGAAUUCCUGGUGUAGCGGUGAAAUGCGUAGAGAUCAGGAAGAACACCGGUGGCGAAGGCGGCAUCCUGGACCGGCAUUGACGCUGAGGCGCGAAAGCCAGGGGAGCAAACGGG
rnacentral:rRNA from 1 species